GAUGAACGCUGGCGGCGUGCCUAAUACAUGCAAGUCGAGCGAACGGACGAGAAGCUUGCUUCUCUGAUGUUAGCGGCGGACGGGUGAGUAACACGUGGAUAACCUACCUAUAAGACUUGGAUAACUUCGGGAAACCGGAGCUAAUACCGGAUAAUAUUUUGAACCGCAUGGUUCAAAAGUGAAAGACGGUCUUGCUGUCACUUAUAGAUGGAUCCGCGCUGCAUUAGCUAGUUGGUACGGUAACGGCUUACCAAGGCAACGAUGCAUAGCCGACCUGAGAGGGGGAUCGGCCACACUGGAACUGAGACACGGUCCAAACUCCUACGGGAGGCAGCAGUAGGGAAUCUUCCGCAAUGGGCGAAAGCCUGACGGAGCAACGCCGCGUGAGUGAUGAAGGUCUUCGGAUCGUAAAACUCUGUUAUUAGGGAAGAACAUAUGUGUAAGUAACUGUGCACAUCUUGACGGUACCUAAGCAGAAAGCCACGGCUAACUACGU
rnacentral:rRNA from 1 species